UACGUAGGUGGCAAGCGUUGUCCGGAUUUACUGGGCGGAAAGAGCGCGCAGGCGGUCGUUCAAGUCGAGUGUGAAAGCCCCCGGCUCAACUGGGGAGGGUCAUUCGAUACUGAUCGACUGGAAGGCAGGAGAGGGAAGCGGAAUUCCCGGUGUAGUGGUGAAAUGCGUAGAUAUCGGGAGGAACACCAGUGGCGAAGGCGGCUUCCUGGCCUGUUCUUGACGCUGAGGCGCGAAAGCUAGGGGAGCAAACAGG
rnacentral:rRNA from 1 species